UACGUAGGGGGCGAGCGUUGUCCGGAAUCAUUGGGCGUAAAGCGCGUGUAGGCGGUCCGGUAAGUCCGCUGUGAAAGUCGGGGGCUCAACCCUCGGAUGCCGGUGGAUACUGUCGGGCUUGAGUACGGAAGAGGCGAGUGGAAUUCCUGGUGUAGCGGUGAAAUGCGCAGAUAUCAGGAGGAACACCGAUGGCGAAGGCAGGUCUCUGGGCCGAUACUGACGCUGAGGAGCGAAAGCGUGGGGAGCGAACAGG
rnacentral:rRNA from 1 species